UACGGAAGGCAGCAGUGGGGAAUAUUGCACAAUGGGCGCAAGCCUGAUGCAGCCAUGCCGCGUGUAUGAAGAAGGCCUUCGGGUUGUAAAGUACUUUCAGUCGUGAGGAAGGUGUUAAGGUUAAUAACCUUAGCAAUUGACGUUAGCGACAGAAGAAGCACCGGCUAACUCCGUGCCAGCAGCCGCGGUAAUACGGAGGGUGCGAGCGUUAAUCGGAAUUACUGGGCGUAAAGGGCACGCAGGCGGUUAAUUAAGUUGGAUGUGAAAUCCCCGGGCUUAACCUGGGAAUGGCAUUCAAGACUGGUUAGCUAGAGUCUUGUAGAGGGGGUAGAAUUCCAUGUGUAGCGGUGAAAUGCGUAGAGAUGUGGAGGAAUACCGGUGCGAAGGCGGCCCCUGGACAAGCUGACGCUCAUGUGCGAAAGCGUGGGGAGCAAACGAGGAUUAGAUA
rnacentral:rRNA from 1 species